UACGGAAGGCAGCAGUGGGGAAUAUUGCACAAUGGGCGCAAGCCUGAUGCAGCCAUGCCGCGUGUAUGAAGAAGGCCUUCGGGUUGUAAAGUACUUUCAGUCGUGAGGAAGGUGUUAAGGUUAAUAACCUUAGCAAUUGACGUUAGCGACAGAAGAAGCACCGGCUAACUCCGUGCCAGCAGCCGCGGUAAUACGGAGGGUGCGAGCGUUAAUCGGAAUUACUGGGCGUAAAGGGCACGCAGGCGGUUAAUUAAGUUGGAUGUGAAAUCCCCGGGCUUAACCUGGGAAUGGCAUUCAAGACUGGUUAGCUAGAGUCUUGUAGAGGGGGUAGAAUUCCAUGUGUAGCGGUGAAAUGCGUAGAGAUGUGGAGGAAUACCGGUGGCGAAGGCGGCCCCUGGGACAAAGACUGACGCUCAUGUGCGAAAGCGUGGGGAGCAAACAAGAUUAGAUACC
rnacentral:rRNA from 1 species